GUGCUUACUUCAGCAGCACAUAUACUGAAAUUAGAAUAAUACAGAGAUUAUCAUGGUCCCUGUGCAAGGCUGACAAGCAAAUUCAUAAAAUGUCCCAUAUUAAA
ensembl:snRNA U6 U6 spliceosomal RNA